rnacentral:rRNA from 1 species
GCUACCAUGCAGUCGAGGGGCAUCACGGGUAGCAAUACUUGGUGGCGACCGGCGCACGGGUGAGUAACGCGUAUGCAACCUACCUUAUACAGGGGGAUAGCCUCCCGAAAGGGAGAUUAAUACCGCAUAAAGCAGGGGUACCGCAUGGUACUAUUUGCUAAAGAUUUAUUGGUAUAAGAUGGGCAUGCGUGCCAUUAGCUAGUUGGUAAGGUAACGGCUUACCAAGGCGACGAUGGCUAGGGGGUCUGAGAGGAUGAUCCCCCACACUGGUACUGAGACACGGACCAGACUCCUACGGGAGGCAGCAGUGAGGAAUAUUGCGCAAUGGGCGAAAGCCUGACGCAGCAACGCCGCGUGAGGGAUGACGGCCUUCGGGUUGUAAACCUCUUUCAGCAGGGACGAAGCGAAAGUGACUGUACCUGCAGAAGAAGCGCCGGCUAACUACGUGCCAGCAGCCGCGGUAAUACGUAGGGCGCAAGCGUUGUCCGGAUUUAUUGGGCGUAAAGAGUUCGUAGGCGGUCUGUCGCGUCGGAAGUGAAAACCCGGAGCUCAACUCCGGGCCUGCUUUCGAUACGGGCAGACUUGAGUGUUGCAGGGGAGACUGGAAUUCCUGGUGUAGCGGUGGAAUGCGCAGAUAUCAGGAGGAACACCGGUGGCGAAGGCGGGUCUCUGGGCAACAACUGACGCUGAGGAACGAAAGCGUGGGGAGCGAACAGGAUUAGAUACCCUGGUAGUCCACGCUGUAAACGGUGGGCACUAGGUGUGGGGACCAUUCCACGGUCUCUGCGCC